rnacentral:rRNA from 1 species
UUGACCUCAAAUCGGGUGGGACUACCCGCUGAACUUAAGCAUAUCAAUAAGCGGAGGAAAAGAAACUAACAAGGAUUCCCCUAGUAACGGCGAGUGAAGAGGGAAAAGCUCAAAUUUUGAAUCUGGUGUCUUUGACUCCAGAGUUGUAAUCUAGAGAAGUGUUUUCCGUGUCGGACCGUGCACAAGUUCCCUGGAACGGGGCGUCAUGGAGGGUGAGAAUCCCGUAUAUGGCAUGGACUACCGAUGCUUUUGUGAUACACUCUCAACGAGUCGAGUUGUUUGGGAAUGCAGCUCAAAAUGGGUGGUAAAUUCCAUCUAAAGCUAAAUAUUGGCGAGAGACCGAUAGCGAACAAGUACCGUGAGGGAAAGAUGAAAAGCACUUUGGAAAGAGAGUGAAACAGUACGUGAAAUUGUUGAAAGGGAAGCGUUUGAAAUCAGUCGUAUCUGGUGGGAUUCAGCCGGGCUUUUGCCAGGUGUACUUCUCGUCCGAUGGGUCAGCAUCAAUUUUGACCGGGGGAAAAAGACGUGUGGAAUGUGGCUGUCUUCG